AUUGAACGCUGGCGGCAUGCUUUACACAUGCAAGUCGAACGGCAGCGCGGGCUUCGGCCUGGCGGCGAGUGGCGAACGGGUGAGUAAUGCAUCGGAACGUGCCCAGUAGUGGGGGAUAGCCCGGCGAAAGCCGGAUUAAUACCGCAUACGACCUGAGGGUGAAAGCGGGGGACCGAAAGGCCUCGCGCUAUUGGAGCGGCCGAUGUCGGAUUAGCUAGUUGGUGGGGUAAAGGCUUACCAAGGCGACGAUCCGUAGCUGGUCUGAGAGGACGACCAGCCACACUGGGACUGAGACACGGCCCAGACUCCUACGGGAGGCAGCAGUGGGGAAUUUUGGACAAUGGGGGCUACCCUGAUCCAGCCAUGCCGCGUGCGGGAAGAAGGCCUUCGGGUUGUAAACCGCUUUUGUUCGGGAAGAAAUCCUCUGGGCUAAUACCCCGGGGGGAUGACGGUACCGGAAGAAUAAGCACCGGCUAACUACGUG
rnacentral:rRNA from 1 species